GCAAAAACCUCGGACGAGUCGGACCGCCGAUUUAUCCACGUCCACACGCACACUUGUCGCACGCACGCACACACCCACAAACGAGAACGCGCGCGCGCCAAAUAAACACGUACUACGUUGGAAGUUGUUUUGUAUUCAGUGUGCCUCUAUCUCGUCGUCGUCGUUUUCUUCAAGAUCCAAGCAGGCGCGCGAGAUAUAAAUAAGAACAGUUAGAAGAGAAGACAUUUCGCGCGCGCAUUUUUUUAACAGUCAGUCGGUGAGAUUCGGUGUUCUUCGUUUGUUUAAGGUUGAGUUUGCUGUUUGCUGCUGGCGAGGAAAAAAUUGGAUUCCAUCAACGACUAAGUGGCAAACGCAGGGUUGUGUUCCCGAUUCCGCGGUGGAAACUAGGUUGUGUAACAGUUGGAUGGGGUCACCGAUAUGAGGUUUGGCUAAUGGCAAUUGCGACAUGUGAAGCAUCGUCUAGAGUGCAAAAUUAAGCCAACCAACAAGUUGGCAGAACGAUGGGUAGCUGAAAAACAAGCGAAAGAGGCUGUGAAUGAAUUACGUUAGCUGGAGUAGUUCAUGGUACUAAAUUGAAGUGACUAAAGAUCGGAAUCAAAAGUGCUCAAAGUGGCUGUCGAAUAAUACAACCGAAAUACUAUAAACAACAAGGCUGUGACAAAAAGUGCUUGUGAACAAAGCGGGAAUAGUAUGUGCUUAACUUUAUCUGGUAGCAAGUGAUAGAAGUAAAACGACAAUCAACAUGACAGCCAGCAAAGUUCAACCGCGACCAAACAGUUUUCUAUCGGCAUCGACCGCCGCUCCACAGAAUGGUGCCCUGGCCAGCUACGGCAAUGCCGCUCACUUCCAGCGGAACACUAAACGGUGCUUGUUUGGGAGGCCAGAUCCCGCCGAGACUAAAAGACUGUACGACGAAAGUGUACAACAGGAUCGCCAGCGGUUCAUAACUCAAUACCGCUUCGAUACCGUAACCGGCCAACCCGUCGGAAGCUCCUCGAUCUCAUCCUACCCUUCCUCAUCGUCGUCGUCGUCGUCGGCGUUACGCAGAAGCCCCACUAGAGAGUACAGCAUCGGUCGGUCAAACGAGGCCGCCAACAACAAACGAGCCGUGCCAAGAUGAUUCCCUGGAUGUUCCGGAACCACCACAACAGAAAUCUUCAAUAGAUCUGUCCCAGGCAACCGUGUUUGUCGCAACCUUCGCAGAGAAAGUCUUCCAACAACACAACUAUAAGCUAAGCUUAAAGGCUACCAUUCGAUCUACUCCAAUAAGUAUCCCCAGCAGGGAUUUCAACACUGAAGGUCAUCUUCACCUCCACUUGUACCACCACCAUUACCAUUGCAAGAGAACAAGAAUGCACCCUUUCACAGUAAAAUCGUUUUCUUCACACUAGCACUCAUACAUUGAGCUGACAAAAAACAAGAACACCAGGGGGUUAAAACAAAACAAUAACUAUUAUUUUCAACUUGAAAUGCAUAGCCUAGAUGACGAAUCUCUCGCGAGCCUUGGAAGCGUGAAAUACAGACCAUAUGAUCCAAGAGCCGUCGAGAGUUUCAAUUUAUUUUCUUAUUUUAAUAAUAAUAAUGUAAUCAAAAAGCAAACUUUGUGAUAAUUUAUAAAAUAUGCGUGUCCUGUUUAAAAAGUUAGCAAGAAAAACUAUUGAAAAAAAGAACACCGACCAAGCGUCGACCUAUUUUAACAAAAACAAAAACGCAUACCGGCCUGUAACCAAUUGGCAAACCAGAAAGAAACGCGAAAGAACCAAGAACGGCACACGCGUAACAAAGAGUUCUUUCAUUGUUAUAUUAAUUUAUAGCAAAUUUUGUUGAGUAAGGACGAAAUUUUUCCCCUUUGAGUAGUUUUUAAGUAAUGUAACGAAAUCGUUAAUAUUUUUUCAAACCCCCUCUUUGAGCAAACACUUACAAACAUACCAACAAAGUCCAUGUGGCUGAUCAUGUCGCCGACGGGAGCCAAAGUGUUUGAUCUUCUUUACUACCAUCUCCCCUCACACACAUUUUUUUCUUAUUAGUUGAACUCAAUCAAAGAAACAAAAAGUUUGAUCUCAUAAUAUUAUUAAACCUUGUUUUAGAGCUGAUAAUGCGUAGUUGUUAACGUGAGAGUGGUAAACAUGAGAUAAUUCAGCAAUUGAAGAUUUGUUCAGUACAAAGCAAAAUGAAAAAACAAGCACAUCUACACCUUUCUCCAUUCAGUUUCCGUACUAUCAAAAGUUUUCACGCGAAAAGCGUAUUUCCCUCAAGAAAAUUUGGCUGAAUGUACUGACAUGAAAAUUCACAGUUUUGAAAAUGGUUUUGGUUGUUCGCCCUUCACAGAUACAGUUUCACCAUUUGUUAUUUUUAGCACUGAGAUUUUAAAGGUAACUCUUACUACACACACACAUACACACCCACGAAAGUUAAUUUUAUUGCCAUACAAGUUAGGAAGAAUGUAACAAUAAUGGAAAAAAUGACGAGUAGAGCUUUUCCUUAAACAUGUUUUCAAUUAGCAUACCCUGUAGGUGCAAGACAAAAAAAAACUGUUUUUUUUUUCUACCGAAUAAGCUAUUGAAACGUCCACCCACUUCCGGAUGCGCCAAUGUACGAACCUCAAGUUCAAACAGAUAAAAAGUAAUGGAAGGCAAAAAUGAUUAAUUCUAUAUUUGCAAUAAAUAAAUAAGAUCAUAUAAAAUGUA